CAUAUACUCCCUCCGUCCGAAAUAUUUGUCAUCAAAAUGGACAAAAAGGGAUGUAUCUAGAACUAAAAUACAUCUAGAUACAUCCCUUUUAUUCAUUUUGAUGACAAGUAUUUCUGGACGGGGGGAGUACUUC
rfam:Triticum aestivum genome assembly, contig: Triticum_aestivum_CS42_TGACv1_scaffold_131722_2BL